GACGAACGCUGGCGGCGUGCUUAACACAUGCAAGUCGAGCGGUAAGGCCCUUUCGGGGGUACACGAGCGGCGAACGGGUGAGUAACACGUGGGUGACCUGCCCUCAGCUCUGGGAUAAGCCUGGGAAACCGGGUCUAAUACUGGAUAUGACUCCAUGACGCAUGUUGUGGGGUGGAAAGCCUUGUGCGGCUGAGGAUGGGCCCGCGGCCUAUCAGCUUGUUGGGNGGGGUGA
rnacentral:rRNA from 1 species